rnacentral:rRNA from 1 species
CAAUAGCGUAUAUUAAAGUUGUUGCAGUUAAAAAGCUCGUAGUUGAAUUUCUGGGUGAGACCGUUGGGUCUGCUUGAUUGCAGGACCUUGACGUUUUCCCCAUCCUUGUAGGGAGCGCGUCGGUCUUAAUUGAUUCGGCGUGUCGACCUGCAUCAUUUACUGUGAAAAAAUUAGAGUGUUUAAAGCAGGCAGUCGCUUGAAUACAUUAGCAUGGAAUAAUAAGAUAGGACUUUGGUCUAUUUUGUUGGUUGCGGCCCAAAGUAAUGAUUAAUAGGGAUGAUUGGGGACAUUCAUAUUGAGGUGGAAGAGGUGAAAUUCUUGGAUUUCCUCAAGAUGAACUGCUGCGAAAGCGUUUGUCCAGGGCGUUUUCAUUAA